UCCGUAGGGUGCGAGCGUUAAUCGGAAUUCCUGGGCGUAAAGCGUGCGCAGGCGGUUUUGUAAGCCCGGUGUGAAAUCCCCGGGCUUAACCUGGGAAUGGCAUUUGGGACUGCAAGGCUUGAGUGCGGCAGAGGAGACUGGAAUUCCUGGUGUAGCAGUGAAAUGCGUAGAUAUCAGGAGGAACACCGAUGGCGAAGGCAGGUCUCUGGGCUGACACUGACGCUCAUGCACGAAAGCGUGGGGAGCAAACAGG
rnacentral:rRNA from 1 species